rnacentral:rRNA from 1 species
UACGUAGGGUCCAAGCGUUAUCCGGAUUUACUGGGUGUAAAGGGCGAGUAGACGGCGCUGUAAGUCAGCUGUGAAAACUUAGGGCUCAACCUUAAGCCUGCAGCUGAAACUGUAGUGCUAGAGUGCAGGAGAGGUAAGCGGAAUUCCUAGUGUAGCGGUGAAAUGCGUAGAUAUUAGGAGGAACACCAGUGGCGAAGGCGGCUUACUGGACUGUAACUGACGUUGAGGCGCGAAAGUGUGGGGAGCAAACAGGAUUAGAUACCCUGGUAGUCCACACCGUAAACGAUGGAUACUAGGUGUAGGCGAGAUAUCGUCUGUGCCGGCGCAAACGCAAUAAGUAUCCCACCUGGGGAGUACGGCCGCAAGGUUGAA